rnacentral:lncRNA from 1 species
GUGAAACCACUGGCGUGCGUCCCACAAAUACCCUCAUGGACUUCUUCCAAAAUUUUCUUGGCUUCUACAGCAUCCACACAUCUUAACAGUACUUGAUCCUUCCUUCUUUUAUAUAACACUUCUCCAUCUAAGACAUAUUCAAUGGCUAUCUUUCUCAGAGUUCUUUUGUCAUUCUCUGUCGCUUGAUCAGGGUAUUCCCGAUUUUUCACAUAUUGUAAGAUACUCCGAUACCAAGGACAAUCAUCUUUUCCCUCCUCCUCAAUAUUGCAGCAAUUAGCCGGGGUCUCAGAGAUACUCAUCUGAACAGGCCUCAUUGCCUCAAG